GAUGAACGCUGGCGGCGUGCCUAAUACAUGCGAGUCGAGCGAACAGACGAGGAGCUUGCUCCUCUGACGUUAGCGGCGGACGGGUGAGUAACACGUGGAUAACCUACCUAUAAGACUGGGAUCACUUCGGGAAACCGGAGCUAAUACCGGAUAAUAUAUUGAACCGCAUGGUUCAAUAGUGAAAGACGGUUUUGCUGUCACUUAUAGAUGGAUCCGCGCCGCAUUAGCUAGUUGGUAAGGUAACGGCUUACCAAGGCGACGAUGCGUAGCCGACCGGAGAGGGGGAUCGGCCACACUGGAACGGAGACACGGUCCAGACUCCUACGGGAGGCAGCAGUAGGGAAUCUUCCGCAAUGGGCGAAAGCCUGACGGAGCAACGCCGCGUGAGUGAUGAAGGUCUUCGGAUCGGAAAACUCUGUUAUUAGGGAAGAACAAAUGUGUAAGUAACUAUGCACGUCUUGACGGUACCUAAUCAGAAAGCCACGGCUAACUACGUG
rnacentral:rRNA from 1 species